rnacentral:rRNA from 1 species
AAGACCUGUAUCCAUAAUUGCUAACAGCCUUAUAGAGGGACUGAGCACAUUAUGGGGACUGCCCUGGAAACAGGGAGGAAGGUGCAGGCAACGGUAGGUCUGUAUGCCCCGAAUCUUCUAGGCUACACGCGCGCAACAAUGGUAGGGACAAUGGGAUACAACCCCGAAAGGGGAAGUUAAUCCUCGAAACCCUAUCUCAGUUUGGAUUGAGGGUUGGAACCCACCCUCAUGACAGCGGAAUCCCUAGUAAUCAGAGUUUAGCAUACUCCGGUGAAUAU